GGGCUGAAUGCAAUAUUUUUAAAAAAUUACCCAAAUUUAUUAAACCACUACUUGAUACAUUGUGCAAGCACAAGUACGGUGGGCAGGUUCUAUAUCUUCUGCAUUUCUUCGCCACCCCAUUCCCUAAUGACCCCUAGGGAUCAUGCGCAGCUGUCAAAAUGCAUGGUGAAGCUCGUCCAAUCUUGCCUUUAAAAGUCUGGGGCACUUUGUGCCAAAGCAGGAACUAAAAGAAUGUCAGUCUUGACAGCUAACUUCAAUGGGUGGAUAACUCCACUGAGGCUCAAUAGGAUGCUUUUAUGUGACAAUAGGGUUGCCAGCGUGUAUACGUAUAUGUAUAUGUACUGAAUAUGUAUAUGUAUAUGUAUAUGUAGAGUGUGUGUCCUACUAUGAGCUGCAGUCAUUGGCAGGUUGCAAUGCUUAUGUCAUGGGAAGCUUGACUUGCUGACACAACAGUCAGUUGACUUAAAGAAAAAUCACAGGAGCACAACGUAAGUUUGCCCCAUGUUUUUCUGGUCAGUUGGGAACCCUAAAUCUCCAGUUUGUAAAGGACCAGGAAGCAGAUGAUGGGAGAAGACCCUUUUCUGCCUGAGACCCUGGGGGAGCUGCUGUCUGAGUAGACAGCAUUGGGAAGAUGGGAAAUAUAGUCUGACCUGAUGUAAGGCAGCUUCUUAUGUUCCCUGUUGCAAGGCCUAAACGAAAUGCACAUAUGGGUGUGGUCAUUUGCACUACAUUGCUUUCCGUGAAGUGCACACUGGCCUACUGUUAGGACUGGUUGGACGUAGAGGAAUGGUAGGAGGAAGGAGUUGGGGAACCACUAAGGGAAGAAGGCUCAGAGCCUGGGGAGUGGUGGCAGGACAACGAUGGGUGGUCAAGAGGGGGGAGAAGAAGAGAGAGAAGACUGGGAAGAGGAUGUGUCAAAAGCUGAAGGGUUAACAGAGCUUAGUGAGCUGGGAAAGUGCUGUCAAGUGGGAGGAGGCAGAGAUGAGUCAGGCUGAUGAAGAGUCUUGGGUGUCUCUCCCUCCGGCUGCGACAAGCUCCCCUCCCUCCUUUCUCCCAGAAUCAAGAGAGGCAUGAAGAGAGGUUGGUGAUGCACAGACGCAGUCUCCGAUUGCUUGGAAAAAGCCCUGGAGAGGAGGGGACUUAGAUGGCUGUGGGGAGGCAGAGACUUCCAAUCUCACCAACUGGUUUUUCAUGGAGCAAGACCACCAGGAAUGAGCUGCUCUGCUCCUUAGGCUUGACUCUCUGCCAAGUAUGUGGAGAUUGUGCUUUUGCUAAUAAAGAGUUAACUCCAAGUUUGAACCGUGUGAUGGCUGACCAGCAGGCUCUGUGACACCUACAGAGAUGGGUCGUAGGUUAGUGGUAGAGCAUAUUGUUUGCUUGCAAAAGGCGCUUGGGGACCAGGGCUGGGGAACUCUUUCUAGGUCUGAGGACGCGGGAGCCAUGUGAUGAUUAGCAAAUGUCUAGUCAUGCUAUUUAGGCACACGUAGCACCAGUUUGGUAGAAAGCUUAACAAAAUCUUCAGGAGGCACACCAAAUCUUCAAGAGGAGGAACAGUUCUUUGCCCAGUAGCUGUGUAUGCUGCCCCUUCUAGGUUGCAGAGAAAGGCUAUACAGGGGAUAUCUGUGUUCAUAAUGACAAAGAAUUACAGCCACAUUUAGUGACGCUGAUGUUGAGGUCAAAACCAUUUUUGUUCCACAUGUUGUUUGCUACACAGAUGCACAGAGUGAAAAGCAGCCUUGCUUUGAAAGGGCUUGGCAGGCUAAAUGUGUGAGAGAGAGAGACUAGCUAGAGGUGAAAAUAAAACUGCAUCCACAGUUCAGUGGCAAAUGUGGGAACCUAGUCCUGUUCCAGUGACGUAGAAUCGUAGAGGAUCAUCUAGUCAACAAUGCAGGAACAUGCAGCUUGUCCCAUGUGGGGAUUGAACCCGCAACCUUGGCAUUAUCAGCACCAUGGCCAAUGAGUACCAGAAACCCUCUUAAAACAUUGGGGUGUCAGUGGGUCCAUUCCAGGAUGGGGAGUAACCCCCCCUGGCAUGGAGUAAUGGUUCACAUAUUCCUGCAUUCAAGUCAGGAAGGUUUCUAGCCUGACCCUUAACAUCUGUCCCUUUGCUCCAGGGGUGGCAUUAUGUCUUUGGAAACCUUGCCCAGGCAGUGGGGCAGCAUUUGUGACUGUGGAGGAGCCUGCGACUCUUUCCUUCAGGUACCUAAUAUCCAAGGUGCAUAUCACAAUGUAUUCUUUCUCUCUCUCUCUCCUCUGAAUUUAUAGCCAUUGUUUCCAGCAGCUGACGAAGCCAAAGCCUUCUCAGUGCCCCUGGCUCUUAAUGCUGCCUCUUCUUUGCACCUAGCCUAUAAUUUCUCAGUAAUUAAGUCCAGAACAUAACAGAUAAACUCGCAGUAUAUUAUCCAGAAGGGCCCCUGUGUCAGAAACUGUGACGGUCUCUUUGAUUGAUUCACUUGCGCUCGCCGAGUUCCUCUUCUCCUUGUCUCCGAGUUUCUGUCUCCUGGGCUCCCUUGCAUUGUGUUUGCUCUCAGGCAUCAGAAGCUAUUAUGGCCUGCGUUAUGAACUUUCCCCAAUUUAUUUCGUAAACUCCUGCCUCUGUUGUCUUUGUUUAAAAAACUGUAGUGUGUGUUUCACUGAAAUACUGUGUGUGUGUCGGCCAAGGGAAGGAGAAUUAGCACAAGGUUAUCCACUUGAAUUUCUUGUUGACCGUUGAAUGAAUCGGGUUUCGUAACUGUAAUGCAGUACCAUUUCAUGGUAUGUUUCCUGCAAUUAAAAAAAACCACACACUUAAAAUAUGCAGAAGAGAUGGGCAAAAAAGGAGGCAGUAGUAAGGAUAACCUAGUAAAAAAAAAGCUGUGGUCUAAAAUAUUGUACUUUUACUAUUAGAUUCUUGAAUUAUUUGGAGACUUAUGGUGCAAUCUUAUACACCAGCGAUAACCAACUUGGUACUACUUCACUCCUCUCUGAUCAUCGGAUAUUACUGGCUGGUGCUGAAGGAAGUUUGAUGUCCAGUAAUAUUUGGAGAGCACCACAUUGGCUCACCCUGCUAGACGCACUUACCUGGGAGAAAAAUUCGUUGAACUCAUUGUACAGGAUUGCAAACUAGACAUUAUGAGGCACCACUGUGAACCUAUGUCUUUCCCCAUGGCCCAUGCAUUUAGCGAAACAGGUGACAUAAUAUCAAGUCCAGUGUUUAUUGGCUGCUGUUUGCAAGGAUAAAGGAAAUACUGAACGCAAAGAGGUCACAUUAAUCAUGCAUUUCCUUUAUUGGACCAGGGUUGUAAAUAGCCAGUCGCCAGGCUAUCAGCCAGGGUAGUUUCUCUGAACCAGAAUAGAACUAAAUUAUCUGCCACUGCCUUGAACUUUAGUCUGCCAUCAAUUGUGGUUAAGAAGGAGCAGCAAAAUGCUUUUGGUUGGUAGUCUUUGUGGACUUCCAUGCAAGGCUGCACUCGGCUUUCUUACCAGGAAGCAAGAGGGAGAUGGCAGUAGCUAGGCAUUUCUCAUAAUGUAUUGUUAGGCCCGGGUGGCGCUGUGGGUAAAACCUCAGUGCCUAGGACUUGCCGAUCGUAUGGUCGGCGGUUCAAAUCCCCACGGCGGGGUGAGCUCCCGUCGUUCGGUCCCAGCUCCUGCCCACCUAGCAGUUCGAAAGCACCCUAAGUGCAAGUAGAUAAAUAGGUACCGCUUUAUAGCGGGAAGGUAAACGGCGUUUCCGUGUGCUGCGCUGGUGCAGGCUCGCCAGAGCAGCUUCGUCACUCUGGCCACGUGACCCGGAGGUGUCUCCGGACAGCACUGGCGCCUGGCUUCUUAAGCGAGAUGAGCGCACAACCCUAGAGUCGGACACGACUGGCCCGUACGGGCAGGGGUACCUUUACCUUUAUUGUUAGGCCCUUACAUUCUCAAAGCAGAUGUAAAAAUUAGUGCUUUGGAAGCAAUAUCCACUCCUUGUGUCACUGUCAAUAUCCAUGUUGAAUGGUUUCUUAAUAUGUAAAGGUUCAUCAUUGUUCCACUCGAUGUGUAUGUCUUUAAGGGGCCAGAGCAAGGGCCAGAGCAAAAUAACGAGACCCAGCUUUACAGCUGUGAAACAUAGCAGGUGCUGCUGAGUUGUAUUGAUUAAGCUGUGUUGGCAAUUGGGUGUAGUAUAUAAGGAGCAGCACCUAGCUCUCCCAUUACCCUGGGGGAUGGGUUGGUGGUUGGGUCAUGUUGGAUUGUUGAUGUAUUUAGUGUAAACGGAGUUUUUGUUUUUCUUAUUAAAACCUUUAAGUUAUUUUUGAGUCCCUUUUUAAUGCAUGGUCUCCCCAGCAAGCUCUCUGCAGCGCUACCAAACUGCAAAUAGCCAACAAUCCACACACCAGCCUGUCUUCUGGAUAUAAGGGUGGCCAUGCAUUUCUGUAGUGCCCUCACUGGGGAGCUAGGACUGUAGCAUCAAAAAAGCCACCCAAAUCCACCUAGUUAAGUUCUGCGCGCUUACCCACUCAUGGUUGAGGAGCUAUAUAUGCAAGCAGGUGUUCUGUUUGUGAUUCCUGACUGAAUCCAGCUGUAUGGUUAGUCGGAAAACCUGCAACAGUGCUGAUCAAUUAUUUCGGAGACACUCUCUCCUCCCCAAACAGCUAAUUUGUGCUAUGUGUGCACAGCCAGAUGGGGGUGAUUAAAUAUAGGAUCAUUUUGGAGUAAGUUGCUUGCUUCCCUGCUUCGUCUUCUUCCGGUUGCCACAUGGAAUUCUGCUAAACAUUUUUGGAUGGGCUGCAGGCAGAGAUGGUGAUGCUGCUAGUCGUUUUAUGUUUACAUUUUGAUUGUAACGAAGAAAGGUCACGUACUUUGUUCCUUGGACAGAAUAAUUAAAGUCGAUAACUUUUCCCGAAAGCUUGGCUUUGUUUUGUUUUUGUACAUCCUGUUCUUCAAGAACGCAUUUCUCCCUAACGGUAAUCUCAGGGUUUCACUAUAACAAUUCCAUUCAUUUAUGUGAGUUUAGGAUCCUAGCCCACUGGUGGCCAUGGAGACAGCUGCUCUUUAUAAUGGCCCUGUAUGUAGUUGAGAAAUGUUGCUAUGCUCCCCAUCCAUCAUCCCAAAGCUGAACGUGAUCAUUUCGUUCACAUCUUGCUCAAGCCUUGCUUUGGACAUUUUUAUCUCUUCUUCUUCUCCAUAAACUUGUUAAUUCAUCCACUUCACCACUGCAUUCUUGGCCAUGUGUCUGCUAGGUCUGUCAGUUUCCCAGGAAAUAUAAAUUAAGUGCCAUGUUACACACUUUUGUGUGUGUGUGUGUGUGUGUGUGUGUGUGGUGGCCUUUGACACGUGAGAUAUACCCACACAAAUUUUGCAUGUGAGAGAGGUACUUAAUUAAUUAAUAAUGAUAAUACAUGUGGAUGCAACAGACACGUAUUUCAUGAAGUGACACUUAAUGGGGAGCUGCAAUUGGCCACAGCUCCUUGUGGAGUGUGCGCUUCGUGACAAACCCACAUUUGCCUGUGUGUGGUGUAAUGUGUAAAAUAGCCCUCUGAUGAACAGUUGGUAAUACAAACUUAAACUGGCAUUGAUAUUUAACAUUGCCCCCCCUCUUUUUUUUUAAAUAACCUGAGAAAUAAGGCAAAUCUCCUAUCUCAUGCCUGUAGUUCUGGGAACCUCAAAUUAUACUUGAUAUUUUGAUUUGAGGGUAGCUGGUUCUUAAAACCACUUGUUUAUCUAGCUAAUGAAAUGCCUAAGUUCAGAAGUUUGCAUUUCUGAGUCGAACUCAGGCCACCUUUUAAACUCCCUGCACUUAUCUCUUUCGUGUGGUUGCCUCUGCAAUUGGAAGUCCACGAAUACGCUGACUAGGAGCUCGAGGAAAAUACAGCCAACGAUGUGAUCCAACCCAUGUCUCUUUUUGACUGUGUGUUUGGGGUGUGGAGGUAAGAAUAGUCCAUGGAUGUGGUGCUUUAUAUAACCACUAAUAUCGACUAAAUGUAAGCAUGUUGUAUUACAGGGUUUCCCAAACUUGGGUCUCCAGCUGUUUUGGACUACAACUCCCAUCAUCCCUAGCUAGCAGGAUCAGUCGUCAGGGAUGAUGGGAACUGUAGUCUAAAAAACAGCUGGAGACCCAUGUUUGGGAAGCUCUGUUGUAUAAGAAUGUACAAUGGUACCUUGGGUUAAGAACUUAAUUCGUUCUGGAGGUCCAUUCUUAACCUGACCUGAAAAUGUUCUUAACCUGAGGUACCACUUUAGCUAAUGGGGCCUCGCGCUGCCGCCGCACGAUUUCUGUUCUCAUCCUGAAGCAAAGUUCUUAACCCAAGGUACUAUUUCUGGGUUAGUGGAGUCUGUAACCUGAAGCGUAUGUAACCUGAAGCAUCUGUAACCUGAGGUAUGACUGUAUAAACAGAAGAAGAGGCUGCUGAAUCAGUCCUGUCUUGUCCAACAUCCUUGACAAAUCAGAUGCCUAUCAGAAGCUUGCACAUCGGGCAUGAAUUCAACAUCACUUCACUAAUAUACACUGCUACUAAUAUAUACUACUAAUGUUGUAAAAGUAUAGCUUUUCCUCAUGAUAAGAAAAAGUCGCAUCAGGUCGAUACACCACACUAUCCUGUAUAGCUGGUUCCGCUGUUUUCCUUUUGUCUGAUUUGUAUUGGCAGGUUCCAGUUGGGGGAGCUCUUUUCAGAAGCUUAUGGGUCUGAGUUUUGGAAGCUGAGCGGGGGUACAAUAGCUUGGCAUCUUCCUACGAAGAUCUGAGCUGACAUCCGUCUUUUGUUGCAUGAUCGAUUCAGCUAAAGAAAGGCUGGUCGAUAAGAGCUUGAGAAGCAAAGGGGGGAGAAGAAUGAAAGAGAAACCAAACCAAAAAAAUACUCAAAGCCAGAGAACCACUGCCCUAAUGGCUCCGCCUGUGUAGAAGUAAAAAAAAAAAAGUUUGAUUACCCGCAGUUGUUAUAUACAUGCCAGAAUGCCAAUCGGGGAAGGAACACCGAAAGUUUAAUUAUUGUCGAGGCAAGCCGCGCCACGUAAUUAUUAAUUACCUCGGGCAAAAAUAACUUAUUGAUUAAAGCCGAUUGCUAAUUAUCCACAGUGGAAUGCAAUGUUUAUCAGGAGGAUAAUAUGUCACGGAGCUGAUGGCAUUGCGGCUCAGAGGUGGGUCUCAGCUGGAGUGCCCUCAGUGGCUCAACCUCUGCUGGGCGAUUAAAGGCCACAUUGUGAUAGACUCCUCUUUUAUUUCCUCCCACCAAAUAAGUAUUUCAAAGUAUGGGAUGAGCACAAACAGAAUUUCCUGUUUCCGUCUCCCCUGCUUAAAAAAAGUCCUUGCAUAGAAAUCUGUCAGGAGUGUGUGCAGGAGCCAGGCCCUGUGACUGGUAGGGCUUCGCAGGACUGGGGCUUUCCUAAGUUUGUUCUCGAGAGGCGAGGCGAGGCAGCCAGUUGGUAACUCACAGCACCUGGUAGCAAGAGCCGGGAAGGGAUAUAAGGUCAGCAUUUCCCUUUGGCUCUUUGACACAGCAACACGCUUCUUGCCUUGCUGUGUUUGGCUUCUUGACUCCUUGCUUCCUGAUCCUCAGACCCUUGGCUUCUUGACUUCCGACUCUCUGACCCUUGGCUUCCUGACUCUCGUUCCUGCUCCCACCCCGCCAUCUUGCCCCUGGUCCUGACAUCCUCCGCCAGGACUUCGCCGCCCAUAAACAGAAAUCGCUCUUACCCCCUCAUCUUCCAUUUUCCCAACACCAGAUCCAGGACCCCAUCCAAGGAAGUCCUGACUCAAGGAAGGAGCUGCUUAGUGCAGUUUUGGCCCUAGGAAUGGCCACAUCUCAUUGGGCGUCCUUCCCCAGCCUGGUGCCAUCUACAUGUUGUUGGACUCCAGUACCCAUCAGCCUCAGCCACCAUGACCAGUGGUCAUGGGAGAUGGGAGCUGUAGUUCAUCUCGAUGGCACCAAGUUGGAAUAGACUUCCCUUAGGGAUGCUAACCUACUUUGAGGACUGUGGCUUUGAGACAACCCUAACGUGGAAUAAAGCUUCCUUGUUCAGCAGAUGUUUCUUCUCUGGUGAAGCUUGAUCGCUAAUAAUGCCCCACCUUUAAAAUAUUGUGAUAGACAGAACUGGAAAAGGUGCAACGGAUUAGAGCCUCUUGCCAGUGAGGGAAGUCUCAAGUGUUCUCAGUUUAGAAGGGGGGGAAAGACAACCCAAUAUGAUAAGAGUUCUAUCAAUUUAUUUGUGGUGUUGAGAAAGUAGCUUUCGCCUUACUUUCCACUGCAUUAGAACUUGGAGUCAUGCGAUGACAUCAGUUGGCAACAGGAUGAUCAAAAGAAACAAAUUCUUCACACAAUUCACAGUUAACUUAAUGGAAUUUACUGUCACACCCUGUGUUAGAAACUCAUACAGUGGUGCCCCGCAAGACGAAUGCCUCGCAAGAUGGAAAACCCGCUAGACGAAAGGGUUUUCCGUUUUUGAGUUGCUUCGCAGGACGAAUUUCCCUAUGGGCUUGCUUCGCAAGACGAAAAUGUUUUGCGAGUCUUGAGAUUUUUUUUUUCCGCUUCCCCCCCCCUUUAUCUAAUCCGCUAAGCCUUUAAUAGCCUUUAAUAGCCUUUUAGCAGCUAAUCCGCUAAGCCUUUAAGCCUUUAAUAGCCACUAAACCGCUAAUAGCGCUAAUCCGUUAAGCCGCUAAUAGGGUUGCUUCGCAAGACGAAAAAACCGCUAGACAAAGACUCUCGCGGAACGGAUUAAUUUCGUCUUGCGAGGCACCAUUGUAUAUAUAUAUAAUCUAAUUGCCAAAUGGCGCCUUAAGCCUGGCUUACAGCCGCCACAGUGGAAUGUCUAGGCCCACAAACAUUUUUGUUUGUUUGUUUAUGUUUUGCAGUGGACUUUAUCAUCAUCAUCAUCUUUAUUUAUUGUUGUCCAUUUCAUUUCUGUAGUGGUUUAUUGUUUAAAGAACAAAUCUCAAUGUCGUUUACAACACAUUAAAGCAUCGAAUAAAACAACAACAACAACAACAACAACAAAACAACUAAUAAUAAUAAUCUUCAAUAACAAUAUUUCAGUUCCUUCUCUAAGUGACAUUUUGCUUUCCCCAGUUGCCAGCCUGGCAUACAGAGAUCUCCAUGUGGUCACAGUUGGACCGGCGCCAGUCGCGAAACGCACCUGGCGCCUAGCUAAUUUUGAACGCUGCUCAUGAUAUGGUGAUGAUCUCAGGCCAGAUCCGUGGAGGAGGACUGGUCUUAUCAAUGGAUUGGUCUGUUGACUAUGAUAGCUAAAUGAAACUUCCAUGUUCAGGGGCAGUGUAUCUGUUGAGUUCCGGUUCCAGAGGUUGGGGAGAGAGAAACGAACCCUAUUAAUUGGCCAUCAUACCCUGUUAUGCAUUUCAUUCUGUUUGGCAGUAUGUGACCUCCGCAACUCCUCUUCUACUUCCUGCAUCUGGAGGUGAGGACUGCUUUGCUUCUUACUUAAGUUUAGCCAGUGCAUUAGUUACCAGCCUUAUGUGAGCAGCUGAGGAAGGAGAGUAGUUUGCGGGUGAGCAGGUUGCAGAGGAGGAGGAGGAGGGAAGAAGGAGAUUAAAAUUUGAUGCUUCUUAGGAAGCCAUUAGUGGCCUGGUGCGGCCCUGAAAUUUUGAUGAUACGAUAAUCGUAAAGGAAGGAAAUAUUAUUUGCCGUAAUGCGGGCUGUUAAUGACUCUGCUGGGGAGCUGAGACCCGACAACGCAGCUGGCCUCGGGGGCCGCUCAUGUGUGUGGUAAUGUACAACAAUUGUCUGUGUAACCUUGAGAAGUAGCUCUGGGACCGGUGGCACUCUGAUCUCUUUCUGUGUAUUGGUUUGUGUUCUCCCAGCAGUAGCAGAC